GUGUUCGCUUUGGAAGCACAUACACUAAAAUUGGAAUGAUACAGAGAAGAUUAGCUUGGCCCUUUGGUGCAAGGACAACACGCAAAUGCAUGAAGCAUUUCAUAUUUUU